rnacentral:lncRNA from 1 species
UGGUUCUGGGUGGGCCCAAUUGGGUUGAGUGGAGGGACAAGUGGGUCCCAGAAGGGAUAAAUUGUGACACGUUCGGAUGUCCGUGAUUGUCCCGAGCAGGCCGUGCUGCCCUUUGGGCUUUCGGAAUACAUUUUAUUGGGAGGGGAUUCGCAAAGGGGUGCCUUUCGCCUUUUCUCACAGGACUCAAAACCAUGUCCCAUGCUCGUCAAAUGUACUGCCUCCCAUCAUCCGGGGGUUAAACAGGGCCAAGGAGGAGAAAUUAAAGCCUAUCGGCUCCUUAUAGUUCGUCCAUGUUCCCUCCCAGGUAUCAAGGAAAAGCAAGUGACCAUCAUGGACUACUAGAGGGUGAAGUUCUCUACCGGUCGUUACCAAUCUCCUUUGGGCAGCUAGUUCAGGGCUCCAUUUGCAAGCUUCACGGAUAAUUUUAUUACCUUCACGAGCAAACAAUAGUUCAGGAUUCUUUUUUGAAAAAAAGAACCGAUUGUAUAGGAGAAGUUUU